rnacentral:ncRNA from 1 species
ACGAGGAAUUCCCAGUAAGCGCGAGUCAUUAGUUCGCGUUGAUUACGUCCCUGCCCUUUGUACACACCGCCCGUCGCUACUACCGAUUGAAUGGUUUAGUGAGGUCCUCCGAUUGGACCCGGUCCGGGCGGCGACGUCCGAGCCGGCGUCCGAGAAGACGAUCUAACUUGAUCAUUUAGAGGAAGUAAAAGUCGUAACAAGGUUUCCGUAGGUGAACCUGCGGAAGGAUCAUUA